CCAUAAUACCUCAAAAGAAAAACUUUCCAAACAAAAACAAAACGCGGGGAAACAUGCCGCUUACUUUUACUUCUUUGGUCCGGUAUUCGGUCACGGUGCUGUGAGGUAAACGCACGAAGAAGAUGAAGAUUAAUGCAAAAUAAUCCACAAGAGAGUAAAUCCAGCACGGACAGGCAGGAGACACAUGUAGGAGCAACACAAAUAACAUCAAUAAUACCGGACCAGAGACAACUAAACAGACUAGAACUUGGGGUGCUAAUGAGGGGCAGACAGGUGAAGAGGAUCAACUAAUAAGGACACAGGUGAACUGACUAACAUAACCAGACAUGAGGAAAAACUAGGUCACGGGCACAUGAGGGAAGAAAACACAACAAAAGUCUAGUCAGCCAGAACUGUUCAGUAAAGAUGACCUGCUUCCCUUGACCCAACCCAGGAUCUGAUCUUCCCUCCUGAGCUUAUGAGAUUGGCAGAGGUCAAGGACCAAACCACUUGGUUUUGUGGGGAGAGAAUGACAUGGAUCAGCCCUGGAUCUAUAGAUGAGCUGCUCCAGCUGAAGGCGGAUUACCCACAG